UACGUAGGGUGCAAGCGUUGUCCGGAUUUAUUGGGCGUAAAGAGCUCGUAGGCGGUCUGUCGCGUCGGGUGUGAAAACCCAGGGCUCAACCCUGGGCCUGCAUUCGAUACGGGCAGACUAGAGUGUGGCAGGGGAGACUGGAAUUCCUGGUGUAGCGGUGAAAUGCGCAGAUAUCGGGAGGAACACCGGUGGCGAAGGCGGCGAUCUGGGUCGAUACUGACGCUGAGGUGCGAAAGCGUGGGGAGCAAACAGG
rnacentral:rRNA from 1 species